CUACAGGGCACAGAAGAAGAAGAAAACCACAGGAGUCCCAUGAAGGUGCAGAGGUCUACACAGGAGUUCAGGAUAGACACCUUGCUGGCAGGACAUGGCCACAGACUCCUCUAACUUAUUCCCCAAAGUGCAAGAGCAGGUCUUCUUCAGUCCAUCCUUCUAACCUGUCCAGAGCAGCUGUAUGCUUACUGCCAGAUCGCUCUACCCUUCUGGGGCAACAGGACUCGAGCCCUGAGGACUCUGCAAAGCUAGGCCCCUGAUGGUCUACUAUGCUUAGAGACCAUUAUGCAUGGGGCUCUUUGGGCUUCUAAAGGGCUCCCUGGGAGAAACUGCCUUCCAAAUCUGACUACUAAGAUGAUACUAUGGGAACAGAUUGUGAGGACAGAAAGAAAAAAAUAAAUAAAAAUUAAAAACGUAGAAAAAAGAAAAAAAAAAAAAGAUGGUACUAGAUGGAAAAGACUGUCUGAUGGCCCUUCAUUGUCCUUCAAUCCAUCAUUCAACCAAGGUCAGUACCAGGUCCUUCCCUGUUGGCUGGGGAUAUACCCUAU
rnacentral:lncRNA from 10 species